rnacentral:rRNA from 1 species
CAUGUCUUUUUGAUUAUAAUAUAAAGUCUGACCUGCCCUAUGAAUAAUUAUUUUUAAAUGGCCGCGGUAAUUUGACCGUGCAAAGGUAGCAUAAUAAUUAGUUUUUUAAUUGAGAACUGGUAUGAAAGGUUUGACGAGGGAAAAACUGUCUCAAUUUAAUUUUAAUUAGAAUUUUAUUUUUAAGUAAAAAAGCUUAAAUUAUUUUAAAAGACGAGAAGACCCUAUAGAAUUUUAUAUUUAUAUAUAUGUUUAAAAAUUUAAGUAUUUUAAUAAAAAUUAAAUAUAUUUAUAAAUAUUUAAUUGGGGCAAUUAAAAAAUUUAAUAAACUUUUUUUAUAUUAAAACAUUAAUGUAUGAAUAAGUGAUCCAUAAUUUUAUGAUUAUAAGAUUAAAUUACCUUAGGGAUAACAGCGUUAUUUUUUUUUAGAGUUCAUAUCGAAAAAAAAGUUUGCGACC